rnacentral:lncRNA from 1 species
AUGUGCCUCGCCUGCUCCCUGCAGCACCCUCUCGCCCGCAGCGCUCCCCAAUCUUUGCAGCACCCCCUUGCCCACAGCACCCUGUCGCCUGCAGUGCCCCCUGCUCCCCACAGCACCCUGUUGCUCGCAGCACCCCCCACUCUCCACAGCACCCCCUUGCCUGUGGUGCCCCCCCUGCUCCCCAUAGCACCCCCUCGCAUGCAGCACCCUGUUGCCUGCGGUGCCCCCCUGUUAUGCACAGCACCCCGUUGCCCACAGUGCCCCCCACUCUCCACAGCACCCUGUCACCUGUGGAGCCCCCUACUCCCUGCAGCACCCCCUUGCACACAGCACCCCCUUGCCUGCGGUGUCCCCCUGCUCCCCACAGCACCCUGUUGCCCACAGUGCCCCCCACUCUCCACAGCACCCCCUUGCCUGUGGUGCCCCCCCUGCUCCCUGCAGCACCCCACUGCCCGUAGCACCCCCUCGCCAGCAGCACCCCGUUGCCUGCAGCACCCCGUCUGCUCCCAGCAGCAACCCCUCACCUGCAGCACCCCCUCUGCUCCCGGCAGCACCCCCUCUCCCGCAGCACCCCCUUUGCUCCUCGCAGCACCCCCUCACUGGCAGCACCCCCUCGCCUGUGGUGACGCCCCUGCUCCCCGCAGCACCCCUUGCCGGCGGCACCCCCCAGGACCGCCCCCUCCCCCUCCCCCGCAGCACCGCCCCCUCCUCCCUCCCCCCCUCCCCUCCCCCUCCCCCUCCCCCUCCCCCUGCGCCCUCCCCUCGGGGUGCGGGCGGCCGCGGACGGGGCUGAGCCCGAGCCGGCUCCGGCUGUCUGCGCGCCGCGCUCCAAGGCAGCGGGGUGAAUGGCCGGCAUCCAGCCCCGCCGGCAACUUGAAAAUAAAAAUAAAGCAGAGAAAAGAAAUAAAUAAUAAGGAGCGCGCCCGAAAGCCAAAGAAAAUACAAUCGCGGGGCGGGGGGCGGGGGGGGCCGCAGCCGGGCCUGGCCCUGGACGGCGGGGCCUCUGUGCCCCCCCGCGCCCUCCCCCUCCCCCUCCCCCGGGCCCCCCCAGGGCCACCCCCUGCGCGUCUCUGUCCUAAUUGCAGAAACACAAUCCGGGGCUGCCCCGCCGCGCCCGGGCGAGGCCAGGAGAGGCCGCGAGCACCCCCGCCCCCAGCACCCCCCAGCACCCCCCCAACACGCCCCCCGCCCCGCAACAGGGCCCGGCUUGUUCUUUGUGCGGCAAAUAUUUAUUUUGGUUCAAGUGGACGCCUUUCCACAAAGACCACCUGGUUGUAA